GAGCUUGAAAAGGCUCGGCCUCCUCAAGGAACGCUAUCUGAUUUGUAAGCAUUCCUAGAGGUUAAGACUGGUGACUAUCAAGAAAGCAAAUACUUCACGCAAGGGCUGUUGCACAAUUGUGUUGCAUGUUUGUGGUAGGAGAGAAAGCUGGAGAGCUGGGCUAUGAAACCAUCUCGGGGAAGGAAGCCAUGUUUUAUUUUCGUUGCUUGGUUUGGACAUCAGCCUGUAGAAGAUUGAAUAACAUUAAAAAAACAUAGUGUGACCCAUUCAUGGGAACCCAACCUGGUCUGCUACACAGAUAUGUGAAAUAUGAGGUUUCAUACUCAGGGUGGAAAUAUCAAUGAAAAUGUGUUCACUGGUAUAGAAGAAAUCCUAGUUUACAUGUGUGAUAACUCAUUAGUUGUUGUACAGAAAAUUUCAUCUGUAGUUUCAGGAUCUGUUGUGCUUGUGCUUGUAGUUGCAAUUAGGCAGCAUUUGGAAAACUGGUUGUGAAUCUGCCCCUCUGAUGGAUCGCUGAAAAUAUCUUCUGUAGCAGAGAAUUGAGACAGAACAGUGA